rnacentral:rRNA from 1 species
UAGGGAAUAUUAGAAAUGGACGAAAGUCUGAUCUAGCAACACCGCGUGUGCGAAGAAGGCCUUCGGGUCGUAAAGCACUUUUUGGAAGGAAUAGGAAGGAAUGUACUUCCAGAAUAAGUCUCGGCUAACUACGUGCCAGCAGCCGCGGUAACACGUAGGAGGCGAACGUUAUCCGGAUUUACUGGGCGUAAAGCGCGUGUAGGUGGUUCUGUAAGUAGGGCGUGAAAGCUCCUGGCUCAACUGGGAGAGGCCGUUCUAAACUACAGAACUAGAGGGUGGUAGAGUGAAGUGGAAUUCCAGGUGUAGCGGUGGAAUGCGCAGAUAUCUGGAGGAACACCAGUGGCGAAGGCGGCCUCCUGGACCACUCCUGACACUCAUACGCGAAAGCUAGGGUAGCAAACG